rnacentral:rRNA from 1 species
UACGGAGGGUGCAAACGUUGCUCGGAAUCAUUGGGCGUAAAGCGCACGUAGGCGGCCUGACAAGUCGGGUGUGAAAGCCCUGGGCUCAACCAAGGAAGUGCAUCCGAAACUGCUGAGCUUGAGUACUUAAGAGGAUCGCGGAAUUCCCGGUGUAGAGGUGAAAUUCGUAGAUAUCAGGAGGAACACCGGUGGCGAAGGCGGAUCUCUGGGCCGUAACUGACGCUGAGGAGCGAAAGCAUGGGGAGCGAACGGG